AAAAGCUUAGUCCACUCCCUAACUCGUUCUUUUUUUUCAUUAGCGUUUUGAAGGUAGUUAUCUUCUGCCCCCCCCUAUUUUUAAAAUAGGAAUCAUUUUUCUCUUAUCACAAGUCAAUUUCAGCAAGUAGUACUCAAUUGAGUAAUUCACAACCCAUAAUAAUACAUUAGUACUCGUUUUAUAAAACGUAAAUAAAAUUCUAUUCAAAGUAAGGAUUUUCAUCCUUUUAAUUGACACAGACCCCAGUUAUCUCGGGGGGGGUGCGGCACUAUUAAGGGGGAAUGGUCGGGUCGGGAUAGCUCAGUUGGUAGAGCAGAGGACUGAAAAUCCUCGUGUCAC
rnacentral:misc_RNA from 1 species